GUCCUAGUAGCUUACAUCAAAGCAUGGCACUGAAGAUGCCAAGACGCUGCUUACAUCGCACCCAAGGACA
rnacentral:tRNA from 1 species